rnacentral:lncRNA from 1 species
GCUCGAUGCUCCCUUUCCUUCCCAUCCCAAAGUGGCACAGUCCCGCUCCAGGACAUUCCCUGCUCACACCCUCUGGGUCACGCUGGGAUAGGAAGCUGAUGGCUGGAGGUGUUGGAGCUCCCUAAUUGCCUUGAGCAAGCGAAUUGGUAGGAACACAACACAGGAGAUGUGGUGUCUCGGCAAAGGGAUUGUGCUCGGCUCCGAGGGGAUGGGGCAGCGCUCCCGUGUCCCAGGGGAUGUUUGGCCCAGGUGAGGGGAUGAAGGUUCUUGGGACCACACAUCCCUCACUUGGGCUGGAGGAGAGCAGUGUGCCCUGAAGCUUUCCCCAAACACAUCCCACAUCUUUCCAUGACUCGGUCUUUUCCGGGGUGUUUAUCAAGAACAAUCCCCGGCUGAUGGAGAGCUCAGAUCCCACGGGAUCAGGCCUCAGACACCAGCAGGUUCCCUCUGUUGCCUCUGUUACUAACUCUGUGUUUCCCCUGCUGUUGCUUAACCCCAUUAAUGGGAUCUGAGCUGGUUCAAAGCCUCUGCAGCAGCAGGGGGGAAAGCUCAGAGCAAUAAGUGGAGGCGACCUCUGCCAAAUUGGAGCAAGACUUGCCUUCCUCCUGCUGCCCAAACAGCCCACAGCAUUUUCCCAUUAAACCUCGGUGCCCAGAGUUAUUGGGGAAGAAGAAAGAGCCAGGAGCAGCCCCUUCUGCAUGGAACCAGGGUGAAAACCUUCUGGGUCUGGGGGUGAGGGCUCAGCACCUACACCUACACCUGGGGGAGGAUGUUCCUGCGGGGAUCACUCAGAGAACCAAGAGCCCAGGAUUUGAAGCCUAUUGGAAAGUCCUGAUCUCAGCCUGUAGAAGAGGAUGAGGAUGAGGAUGAGGAUGAGGAUGAGGAUGAGGAUGAGGAUGAGGAUGAGGAUUUCUCCCUCCCAUGGCUCCAGAGCCCAGCAGAGGCUCAUGUUCUCCCCAUUACCCUACUCCAUGUCCCCAUCCCAGGUGUGGUGAUGGCAGAAGGUGGGAGGUGAGUGCUGUGCCCUCCCCAAACAAGCAAUCCCUGGGGUAACCCCCGAAAUUCC